rnacentral:rRNA from 1 species
GUCGAGAAUCUUUCACAAUGGGGGCAACCCUGAUGGAGCGACGCCGCGUGGAGGAUAAGGUCUUCGGAUUGUAAACUCCUGUCAUGCGUGAACAAGGUUGCUUGGUUAAUACCUGGGCAAAUUGAUGGUAACGCAAGAGGAAGAGACGGCUAACUCUGUGCCAGCAGCCGCGGUAAUACAGAGGUCUCAAGCGUUGUUCGGAAUCACUGGGCGUAAAGGGUGCGUAGGUGGCGUGGUAAGUCAGAUGUGAAAGCCCGGGGCUCAACCGCGGAACUGCAUCCGAUACUGCCAUGCUAGAGUACUGGAGAGGUGACGAGAAUUCUCGGUGUAGCAGUGAAAUGCGUAGAUAUCGAGAGGAAUACCAAAGGCGUAGGCAGGUCACUGGACAGUUACUGACACUGAGGCACGAAGGCCAGGGGAGCGAACGGGAUUAGAUACCCCAGUAGUCC